rnacentral:rRNA from 1 species
AUUGAACGCUGGCGGCAUGCCUUACACAUGCAAGUCGAACGGCAGCACGGGGUCAACCCUGGUGGCGAGUGGCGAACGGGUGAGUAAUGCAUCGGAACGUGCCCAGUAGUGGGGGAUAACCAGUCGAAAGGCUGGCUAAUACCGCAUACGACCUACGGGUGAAAGCGGGGGACCGUAAGGCCUCGCGCUAUUGGAGCGGCCGAUGUCUGAUUAGCUAGUUGGCGGGGUAAGAGCCCGCCAAGGCGACGAUCAGUAGCUGGUCUGAGAGGAGGACCAGCCAGCCUGGGACUGAGACACGGCCCAGAGUCCUACGGGAGGCAGCAGUGGGGAAUUUUGGACAAUGGGCGCAAGCCUGAUCCAGCCAUGCCGCGUGCGGGAAGAAGGCCUUCGGGUUGUAAACCGCUUUUGGCAGGAACGAAACGGCGCAAGCCAAUACCUUGCGCUAAUGACGGUACCUGCAGAAUAAGCACCGGCUAACUACGUGCCAGCCGCCGCCGUAACAC